UACGGGAGGCAGCAGUGGGGGAUAUUGCACAAUGGGGGGAACCCUGAUGCAGCGACGCCGCGUGAAGGAGGAAGUGCUUCGGCAUGUAAACUUCUAUCAGCAGGGAAGAAGAUGACGGUACCUGACUAAGAAGCCCCGGCUAACUACGUGCCAGCAGCCGCGGUAAU
rnacentral:rRNA from 1 species